GAAUGCUGACAUAAGUAACGAUAAAGCGGGUGAAAAGCCCGCUCGCCGGAAGACCAAGGGUUCCUGUCCAACGUUAAUCGGGGCAGGGUGAGUCGACCCCUAAGGCGAGGCCGAAAGGCGUAGUCGAUGGGAAACAGGUUAAUAUUCCUGUACUUGGUGUUACUGCGAAGGGGGGACGGAGAAGGCUAUGUUGGCCGGGCGACGGUUGUCCCGGUUUAAGCGUGUAGGCUGGUUUUCCAGGCAAAUCCGGAAAAUCAAGGCUGAGGCGUGAUGACGAGGCACUACGGUGCUGAAGCGACAAAUGCCCUGCUUCCAGGAAAAGCCUCUAAGCAUCAGGUAACAUCAAAUCGUACCCCAAACCGACACAGGUG
rnacentral:rRNA from 1 species